AUGCGGCAAAAACGGCAGUCCUCCCAUUCAUUUGAAUGGGGGUAGUCCGUUUAGGCUGCGGCAGUGGGGACCGCACGGGGGUGCAGAAAAACAAAACGCAGACCACGUGCGGGACGAAGAACCAGAAUUAACUUUUGCCGUAAGGCAACCCGACGUCACGCUGCGGUGGCCAAUCACGUCCGAUCAGAGCGGAAGAAGCCCACGGGAAGAAGCGCACGGGAAGAAGAGCCUUGUUUACCAUGUAGCAUUCCGCUGUUUACCGAACAACUGUGAAGAUAUGGAAGAGAGACUGAUCGCCGCCGUGAUGACCUUUCCAGAGCUGUACAACCCUGCCAUGAGGGAGUAUAAAGACGGCAAUCGCCGUGCAGUGGCUUGGCGUUGUAUCGCUCUUCAAGUUCCGAUUUCUGAGGAGGACGCUAAGAAAAAGUGGAGAAAUCUCAGAGACAGAUACAGGAAGGAACACAUGGCUGAGAAGAAGAGGCGUAGCCGAUCGGCAGAAGGGCCAAGGAGGACAUGGAAAUUCAUGCCACUGCUUCACUUCCUCGACCCCUACGUCAAGGACAGGCCGACAUCUUCCAACAUGAGGCAUGGCGAGGGUGCUUCUGAAACGGACAGUUUCUCAGCAUCGGAGCCGAGCCCCAUACUGAGUGAUGCUGAGGUGCCCUCCUGCAGCACAGCCACCAACCCAGACAUCAGCCUUGUGAUGCGCCCGGUGACGUCUCAGGAGAACUUCUGCGAGCUCACGCCUCAGGAGAACUUCUGCGGGGUCACACCAGGACCCGUGAUGCCCUUUGAGUGCCCCCGCAUGCCCACACCUGGUCCUUCACAGCCCCUGCAGCGCCCCUGCCCUGCUACACCAGAGCCCCUCCAAAGCCCCAGCAAACCCCUGCACGAAGGGAGUCGACCUUCUCGCCCCAAGAGAGGACACACAGAGCUCUCUGAAUUUGAGGCCCAGGUGAUGAACACACUUAGCAGCCGUCCAGACGAGGAGGAGCACUUUGGAUUGAGCCUGGCGGCAACAUUGCGGAGACUUCCCCCAUCAAAGAGACGACUGCUACGGUGCCACAUUGAGCAGCUAGUCUAUGAGGUCGAGUUUGGGGAUGGACUGUGCAAUAGAGGGUAUGCACUGACGUCACUUUCCCACCGGAAUACGCCCCCUCAGUCAGACUGAGUGGCAAAACAACAUGCUGCAACAUGGCUGCCUUUAGUAGGGGAAACUGCGAAACCGGGAGUAAAACAAACGAUUAUCUGCUUAAAUUAAAGGUAGUUGGACUCGACAGUGAUCCUUACAACCAUAGGAGUAGAUUUCGGGGGGGACUCAGUGGGUACGUCCCCCUCAAUAUUUAGAACACAGGCAUUUGUCCCCCCCCAAUAAAAACUGAAUUUUGUGUUUUCCUUUACAUAAAUAAAGACAUUUCCACCAUAAAUUGAUGCAGAAAAGGCACAAAUUGGUGCAUAAAAAUUCACCAGAAUGCAGGAAAUGAAGUGUUUGACGCUCAAAAUUUCCUGGGGAGGACCCCCCAGACCCCCUGCUUAAUGUGUCUCCCCCAAUGUUCAAACAAAACCUACACCACUGCUUACAACUUACCAAAGAACCAGUGGUCCAUGGACAUUGACAUGUGGCCAGGGAUCGGGUUUCCUGACAUUUAUAUGUACCUGAUUUCAACGCCGGGGAAAUACACAAAGCAAAGCCUGAAGGCAUACAAAAACCUUGACGCUUGGUUGUACUUCAAGGUGGGAUUUGUUGGCAAAAUUAAAGUGACGAGGACACCAAUGAAUAUUCUGGUUGCACGUGGACAGGUGGGGCAUUCAGCAGGAGACCAAGGCAAAGGAGGCAUACAUCGAGACCAUGUCAUCAAAACACCUAAAUUUUGAUGUAACCCCACCCCCACUGGACUCUACAUUUCUCCGCAGUACCCUCAUCUUGGCGCAUCACCUGAUGGGAAGGUGUCUUGUGACUGUUGUGGCUCUAUGUGCUUGGAGAUCAAAUGUCCCUACUUGGCAAAAGACAAGACACUGUUAGAACUGUCAAAAGAAAAAGACUUUUGCUUGGUUGCAUCCUCACCCUCAGAUGUGACACUGGAACGUAACAGACAACACAACUAUUACACAACUAAGUACAGUGCCAGAUUCAUGUUACAAAAUCACCAUUUUGUGACUUUUGUGUGUGGACACCUUCAGAAUUAUAUAUUGAGAGAUUCAAAUUUUGAAAGACAUUUUAUGAAGGCAACAAAGUUUUUCAAGUAUGGAGUGUUGCCAGAAUUGCUAAGAAAAUGGUUUACACGAAAUGCAGUGCUGAAUCUUGGUGUAACAUCUGAUCUGUAGGCCUGUUUCCUAGAAAGGAAAACAGAACCAAGGAAACAGCUGUUUGUAAUUUCAAACGGGAGAUAAAUCCCACUUUGCCCACAGAGGAGAUUUGAAGCUCAAGUUGCACAAGGAAAAAGUCCCACAAUUGAGUUACUGUAUGACUGGGGGACAACAGUACUGUGGGGGAACUACUGGACAUUUUGAAAAGCCGCAAGUUACUGGCUGCUGCUUGUGUACUGUUACCUGGUAUGUUUCUAACUCACAUUUAAAGGAGCAAUUUGUGACACAAAUUUCAUAGAAGUAAACAUCUUUUUUAGUAGAAGAUAAAACACAAUUAGUGAUUCAACCUAUUCCCAUUUUGUGAAAGCUUUACAUUGCUGUUCUAAACCAAGGUUUUACAGUG